AUUGAACGCUGGCGGAAUGCUUUACACAUGCAAGUCGAACGGCAGCACGGACUUCGGUCUGGUGGCGAGUGGCGAACGGGUGAGUAAUGUAUCGGAACGUGCCCAGUCGUGGGGGAUAACGUAGUGAAAAUUACGCUAAUACCGCAUACGAUCUAUGGAUGAAAGCGGGGGAUCGCAAGACCUCGCGCGAUUGGAGCGGCCGAUAUCAGAUUAGGUAGUUGGUGGGGUAAAGGCCUACCAAGCCAACGAUCUGUAGCUGGUCUGAGAGGACGACCAGCCACACUGGAACUGAGACACGGUACAGACUCCUACGGGAGGCAGCAGUGGUGAAUUUUGGACAAUGGGCGAAAGCCUGAUCCAGCCAUUCCGCGUGCAGGAUGAAGGCCCUCGGGUUGUAAACUGCUUUUGUACAGAACGAAAAGGUUUCUACUAAUACUAGGAGCUCAUGACGGUACUGUAAGAAUAAGCACCGGCUAACUACGUGCCAGCCGCCGCAGUAA
rnacentral:rRNA from 1 species